UCAGAAGGAGAAACUUAUUAGAAGAAGUCUUUGCCAUUAUAUGUAUAAAUCUGGAAUAGUUUCACUCCGAACAACAAACGUGGACGCUGCUCAACGGGGAGGAGGAGGGGAACACAGCCACCCAGUGUUUGCAGACUCCAGCACAGCAAAGUGGUGGACUACAGGAGCAGCUCUGGUGGCGAAGGGGCAGCGUGAGGCACUGCUGGCCCCAACUUCCCGCAGGUGUCCAUCCGGCACCCGAGGCCUCGAGCAGCACCGUGUCUGUGUCCUGUGCCAUACCCACAGCCCUGGAACCAUGCAAGGAGAAUGAAGUUUGUUCUAAACGUGAAUUUAAUGUGCUUUCAGAUUUGACAGCCUCUUUUAAAAGGAAACGUUUAAGUUGAGCGAAAGGCACAUUUGCUUCUCCAAAUAAAUGGAAUUAUAGUUCAAAGAUCUGACUUAAUCCUGAGGCUCUUGCACUGUGCAGUAAGUAGGAAAGAAAGGGGAUUGCUCCGAGGAGCAGGGGUUAGCAGGAUCAGGGGCUGUUUUAUAUCAUCUCAUUUUCCUUCUGGUAUUUAAUAUACUUUCUUCUCAACUUGCACUGGCUGGUUCUAAAAAGACCCAGUAGUGUCAUACGUUAACUAAUGGCAUAUAAACUACUAAUUGAAACUAAUGAAGGAUGGUACAGGGAGUUCCCAUCCAGCUUUCCUGCUAGGCAAAUUUGAUUAUUGUUAAGCAAACAAAAAUGCCAUUCUUCCAGAUGUAUUCUCUCAUAUGGUUUCGUCCUUUUUCAGUUCAUUUCAGGACUUUUCUCAAAAUGCAUUUUACUUGUUAUAACUAUGUGCUCUUUUUCCACUUUAAAAAAAUGUAUAUACAACUGUGUUUUAAAAUCUACGUUGACAUUUCAGUGAUAUGAAGGAAGAUGUUUACACAGUAACAGUGCCAUCUAUAUUUAUUGUAUCUCUACAAACAGAAGUUCUGAUCAGAUAAAAUUAAAAUAUGUGUGUGAUGGUUUUUGUGUGUUGUAAUGACAUCUGUAUGUUUCUAGUUGUGAUUUUGGUGCCUGCCCCCACAUUACCUGGCUGGUUAAGGAAAGUGGGAUCAAUAUUCUUACUUCUCCGACGUAUCAGUUUGUUCGUUAACCCCAGUGCUGCUGGCUGCACUCUCUGAAAUCAGUGAUUUGUCUUUGAGCUAUUUCUUUUUCUGCCAAAGCGCCGAGGUACAUGUAUUCCAGGCAGUAGCUGCAUCUGCGGGACAUGCUAACGUGGAGAGGAGCCUGGGCAGGAGGAGCACUGUGCCUAAAGGGAGCGUUCAAGAAGAGUCUCCAGCAAAGAUUAAAAUGAAGAAUGAAUGAAAUUUAUUGUGGCAAAGUUUCCUUCAUAGGCUGCAAAAAUAUGUGUACAGACAUUUGGAUAAAGAAAGUUUUGCAAGCUUCAUUUCGAGCCAAAACCCUUUUGCAUGGAAAAAUAAAACAAAACAAAACAAAACCAAAAACCUAAAUAAAUCCUCCUUAAAGAUGAGACAGUCCUGCUGAUGCAGUCUACCUGGCAGGCACUGCAUGCGCUGCUGUGGUGUGGCCCUGGGAGGGGGUUUUGGCCUUCUGCUGAGGCCAAGCUCUGUGUCCUGGGCACUCCAGGGCUGCUGCUCGCUGCUGGUGUGGGCUGCUGGGUUAUAGUGCAGUGUAACUGCAUGACCCACUGCUAUACACACCACUGGGACAUCAGGUUUUUUGACAGGGAACAGACCUCAAUUUCCUAGAAUAAAUCUAUUAUUAAAAUAUUCCCUGCUUUUCUCCCUACCUUCCCCAAGCCCCUAAAAGCUUCUCUAAGUGUGUGGAGGCAGCAGCGCUCACCUUCCCACUCUGUUUAUAUGGUGACUGCCAAAAUAAACCUGGAUGCAAGGAUCCAAGCUGUCCAGAGACCUCAGAAAGCUCUCGGCCACCUGGGGGCUGUCACCUGGAACACGAGCAGGUGUCCCCAGGGCUGAGGGUGCAUGGUGCUGAGGCCCUGUCCCUGCAAGCACUCAUUCAUGGCUCAGUGUCUUGUCCAUGCACUCUGGGACUCACUGUGCUCUGGAGGAUGUUCAGUGGCUGUGGAACGUCUGGCUCCAGAGCAUCCCUCACUCUGGGACUUCUGUGCACCCAACCCCACCACACACUGUUGUGUUCAAUUAGAAUUUUUAGAUGCGUUUGGUCCCCAAAGCACCUCCUGUGAUGUACUGCUGCCAAAUAUGGGACAAGAGUGGAUGAGGGAUUGCUGUGCUGCAGACCCGCAGCCCUGGAGGUGAGGAUGGUGAGCAGCAAAAGGAGGGAAGUAGGAUGUUGCACCUGUGUGAUGGGCAAUCGCAAGGCACGAGAGGGGCCAUGUCAGCCUUUGUCGCAGGGACUCAAACGCUGCCUUUCAGCACACGUAUCCUUUUUCUUCUUAAAGAAAUGUAUUUGGUUUUGCUCAGCCACGUGCUGCUCCAUCCCAGCACAAAGCACAACACAAUGCGCAGCCGUGCGCAGCGCCUGCCUGGGGGAAUUCGGGGCAUUUCGCAGCUUUCAGGCACGGGAACAAAUUGUGAACUGCGGCGUUGCAUCCAUGUGUGAACACACACGCAGCCACCAGCAGCUGAUGCUUCACACUAAUCACUCUCAUAAAUGCCUCUAAUUAGACUCAUAAAUACCUCUAACUUUCCUACAGGGAGCAACAAGCCCGAUGGGCUUCGUGUAAGAUCUGGGGGGAAAAAAGGAGUUAAAAAGAUGAGUAAAUCUGUUUUUAAACCUGGCAAGUCCUAGAGCGGUGCUCUUGAAAAUCCAACAGGAAUCCUAAAUUGCGGAGCCCUGCACCCCCCGGAGCCGCAGCGUGGGCAGAUUGGGG
rnacentral:lncRNA from 1 species